CACGCCUGCUCGGCUGUCCCGAAACCGAGGGCGUGAACCUUGUGACAGCAGCUGCUGCGGUCACCUCCACGCCCCAUACUCUUGGGGAGCGCUCAAGGACCAGCUCAAGGAAGCAGACCCUGAGGCUACGCUUUUAAAAAAAAUUGUCACCGUAUGCAUCGAUUGGCUUUUCUAAAACUGUGAGGCACAGGUGUCUUAGUGGAGAAAGAACAUGUAAAGGACACUGUCGGUGGUGUUACUGGAAAGGGGUCAAGCGUGAACAAGAAAAGAGGAAGUGGGAGUCUCUUCUGCCUUCUGUAAUACUCCAGUCAUCGGACGCUGUGACCGAGCAGGUGGCCUGGGAGCCGUCGCGCGCCCCGCGUCCGUGCGUGCGGCCCAGUGGGCACGACACGCGCGGCAAUCAGCGGUGAGCAAAGCACUUAGGAUGAUGCCCGGUGCGCGGGAGACAGCCAGUGCCCCCUGGCAGAGGGACGGCGGCUCGGACUCGGUGAAGGAACUGUCACCUAAACAGCUGUGCGGCCCCGGGGCAGAAAAGUCACCCUGAAGGGAACACGCUUUUCAGUUCUGAAUCCAAGCGGGAGGGGCUCUUCCCCCCCAGACUGUGGAACCGUCCCCACACGUCCCCACAUCUGGGAACCGUGUCCGGGGUCGGGAAGAGGGGGCCACAGUGGUGAGAACGGGGACGCGUGUGGAUCCAGAAUCAGGCGCUGACCUUGAAGGUGGGCAAGCCAGGCCGACGACCACAAGGUCCCUAGGGCCUACGGGACAGGGUCCCGAGUGAAGUGACCCGGAUCCCCACCCCUAUCCACUGCAACAGGGGAGAAAGCACCAGCUUCCCGCCAGCGGCUCCGGAGAUGCUGUUUACCCUCUUGGGACUGUUAUUUCUACUAGUGCGUGUUUAACUGAUGCUAGCUCUCCUUCCAGAAGGUGAAUUAAGCAUUCCCGACGAGUCCUCUGCCGUCUUCGGAAAGCCCCACGUUACCGUGAGAUGCGGAGACGCUUCCAAAGCACAUCCAGAGACGAGACCCCGGGGGAGGGGGUCGUCACCAGGCUGUUGAUUCCCGGGCGUUCAGACCUCACGGACGUGGACAGGGAGGCCCUCCUGAGGUUUACGACCUGAUUCUCGGGCAACGAGGAAAAUGCAGGUAGAAUCAGGGCAGAGCCCAGAGGCCAGACGGCUGUGUUGGUGACUCUCCAACAGCUUCCGCCACGUUGACAUUUCGGGAGCAGCUUCUGGAACCCACCAAAGGCAGGUCCAGAUCCCCGUUCGAGACGCCCAAAGAUGAAACAAAUCGACAAACCUCCUUCUCAUUGCCAUCCGUGAGAGAAAAUGGACAAUUUCAAAACCAUUAAAACCUUAACAUAAUUUUGAGAACUUAAAGUGAGCACCACACAUCGAAACUAAGGGUUUGGAUGUUUGAACCGAAUACCGCUAGCUGCACACCCAGGAAUGGCCUUGGAGCUCUCAUUGCCGCUUGUCCGCUGAGACCCACUUGGAGAGCAGAGAUGCCGAGGCCGGUGGACAGCAGGGGACCGUCCAGUCCGAUGGAA